UGGGGAAUAUUGCACAAUGGGCGCAAGCCUGAUGCAGCAACGCCGCGUGAACGAUGAAGGUCUUCGGAUCGUAAAGUUCUGUUGCAGGGGAAGAUAAUGACGGUACCCUGUGAGGAAGCCCCGGCUAACUACGUGCCAGCAGCCGCGGUAAUACGUAGGGGGCUAGCGUUAUCCGGAUUUACUGGGCGUAAAGGGUGCGUAGGUGGUCUUUCAAGUCGGUGGUUAAAGGCUACGGCUCAACCGUAGUUAGCCUCCGAAACUGGAAGACUUGAGUGCAGGAGAGGAAAGUGGAAUUCCCAGUGUAGCGGUGAAAUGCGUAGAUAUUGGGAGGAACACCGGUGGCGAAAGCGGCUUUUUGGCCUGCAACUGACACUGAGGAGCGAAAGCGUGGGGAGCAAACAGG
rnacentral:rRNA from 1 species